rnacentral:rRNA from 1 species
CAGCAGCCGCGGUAACACGUAGGGUGCGAGCGUUAAUCGGAAUUACUGGGCGUAAAGCGUGCGCAGGCGGUUAUAUAAGACAGAUGUGAAAUCCCCGGGCUCAACCUGGGACCUGCAUUUGUGACUGUAUAGCUAGAGUACGGUAGAGGGGGAUGGAAUUCCGCGUGUAGCAGUGAAAUGCGUAGAUAUGCGGAGGAACACCGAUGGCGAAGGCAAUCCCCUGGACCUGUACUGACGCUCAUGCACGAAAGCGUGGGGAGCAAACAGGAUUAGAUACCCCUGUAGUCCCUGUCUCUUAUAC